rnacentral:tRNA from 1 species
UAGCGUAGUGGUAAGCCCUCGGCUCUUCGAAUCGAAAGGUUCCGGGUUCGAAUCCCA